GGAAGUAUAGUUUAAUCUUUAAAUCGUAAAGCUGUUAACUUUAAGAUGCUAUUUGUUUAUUGGCUGUUUCCU
rnacentral:tRNA from 1 species